rnacentral:lncRNA from 1 species
UCGAGAGCACCCUCGUCUGCCAUCUGCUUCUUGUUCUGCAGUCUGGACCGGCUCGAGUUUCACACUCUCUGUUAAUUCUUGAUUCGUUUGCAGCACAGGGACACUCCAUCGUUGUGCACUCUCAGCAUCAGGUGUUUAGGACCGGCCUCUCCAAGUACUAAUCAGUGCUUUCCAUUUGUUUGUGUUCGCACAACUUCAAGAGGUGGAGGAGCAGACCACAUGAAUUUUAUUUCUUGUGUAUUUUCUUGUGUGUGAUUUGAGCAGAGGCAACUUCUUUUUCGUGGGCACCUAGCUGUGCAGAGCUGAGAGCUCCA